rnacentral:lncRNA from 1 species
UCUCCUUUCUCUUUCUUCUUCUCUUUAAGCAUACUAGUUGAUAACCUUUAUAGGUAAGGCACAUGGUACAGUAAGUACCAUCCUGACCAUGGAAGGCAGAACCAUCUUGAACUGGGUGGCAGAUCGGGAUGGUUCCAUUACCAAAUUUGCAAUGCUGGUAGUAGGGAGAAAGAAAGAGAGGAAAAGAGAGAGAGGGAGAAGGGAAGGAGAUGGAGAGGGAGAGAGACCCUCUAGAGGUCGUCGGAGGGCCUCUGCACCCAUUGGAAGGCCGGCAACAAGGAUACGUGGGAGAAGGAAGAGAAGGAAAAGAGAGAGAUGGAGAGGGAAGGAGAUCCUCCGGAGGCCCACUAGAGGCCGUUAGAGGCUCGCCGAGGAAGAUGGAGGCCGAUCGAAAUGGGGCAAAAGCCCCUGAUUCAUUUUUUUCUUUUUUUUUUUUAGGAGGGAUAUCAGGUGAAGUUGGCAAUGAUGUUGCCCCGUUGCCGACUUCACCUAAUAACUCUUUUUUUUUCAUUUUGCUGACCCAUAAUGAAGUUGGUAAUGUUGCCAACUUUACUUGAGUGAAGGAAGCAACAGGUUUGUGGACUUCAUUGUUAGAUGGUAGAAAAAAAUUAAGGAUUCGCGAUUGAAGGUGGAGCAAUUGCUCCUAUGUCAAUCGGCAGAGGUGGGGAGAUGGAUCCAAAGCUCUGCAACCCUCCGUCGGCCACCAUCAGCCUCUACCGGCAUCCCUGCUCUCUCCUUCUCCUUCCCUUUGUCUCUCUCCUUUACCCUCUCCCUCUCACCCCGCUUUCCUCUCUCGGUUUGGUUCUUCUUUGCUGUGUUAGUUUGGGCCUGGUAUGUAACAGUAGAAGGGUGUACCGAGCCAUACCGCUGGCCAACU